GUUCAGUUGGUAGAGUGUUUGCCUCACAUGCAUAAGGCCCUGGGUUCAAUCCCCAG
rnacentral:tRNA from 1 species